rnacentral:rRNA from 1 species
GUGCACGCUGGCGGUAGGCCUAACACAUGCCAGUCGAACGGCAGCACAGUAAGAGCUUGCUCUUACGGGUGGCGAGUGGCGGACGGGUGAGGAAUACAUCGGAAUCUACUUUUUCGUGGGGGAUAACGUAGGGAAACUUACGCUAAUACCGCAUACGACCUACGGGUGAAAGCAGGGGAUCUUCGGACCUUGCGCGAUUGAAUGAGCCGAUGUCGGAUUAGCUAGUUGGCGGGGUAAAGGCCCACCAAGGCGACGAUCCGUAGCUGGUCUGAGAGGAUGAUCAGCCACACUGGAACUGAGACACGGUCCAGACUCCUACGGGAGGCAGCAGUGAGGAAUAUUGGACAAUGGGCGCAAGCCUGAUCCAGCCAUACCGCGUGGGUGAAGAAGGCCUUCGGGUUGUAAAGCCCUUUUGUUGGGAAAGAAAAGCAGCAGGUUAAUACCCCGCUGUUCUGACGGUACCCAAAGAAUAAGCACCGGCUAACUUCGUG